rnacentral:rRNA from 1 species
AGCGAACGCUGGCGGCAGGCUUAACACAUGCAAGUCGAGCGGGCGUAGCAAUACGUCAGCGGCAGACGGGUGAGUAACGCGUGGGAACAUACCUUUUGGUUCGGAACAACACAGGGAAACUUGUGCUAAUACCGGAUAAGCCCUUACGGGGAAAGAUUUAUCGCCGAAAGAUUGGCCCGCGUCUGAUUAGCUAGUUGGUGAGGUAACGGCUCACCAAGGCGACGAUCAGUAGCUGGUCGAGAGGAUGAUCAGCCACAUUGGGACUGAGACACGGCCCAAACUCCUACGGGAGGCAGCAGUGGGGAAUAUUGGACAAUGGGCGCAAGCCUGAUCCAGCCAUGCCGCGUGAGUGAUGAAGGCCCUAGGGUUGUAAACCGCUUUUGGUCGGGAAGAAAGGCAACUCCUAAUACGGGUUGUUCUUGACGGUACCGGCAGAAUAAGCACCGGCUAACUACGUGCCAGCCGCCGCGGUAAG